GUAUGUGCAUUUAUAAUGGAUGAGCCUCCUUCGCCACAGGAAGGCGAGACAGGAAGAAAGAAAGAGGGCCCAGGCUGGAGGGUGUGGGGGGAGGCAGGAGAGAGGAGGAAAGAAGGAUAACCUAGGAAACUACAAAGGGGGAGGAAAGGGGAAAGCGCAUACAUGCACACGCUGAGAGAGAAUAAACCGUAGUGAUAGCUGGGCAGUCCCAGGAAAUCCUAAUCCUCUCUGAACCAGCGGAGAGAAGGCCCGAUGACUUAACUCUUUCGGGACUGGGAUCAGCCCUCGGAGCCCGGGACACCUGCUGGCCUCUGAGGGGUAGAAACUGGGGUCCUGUUUGUUUUAGCAUCACCUCUACUAGUCGGUCUAGGCACUAGACUAGUGGUUCGGGAAGCCGCGCGCACUAAAUGACAGCAGAUGAGCCCGCAGCCUGGAAGAACUGGUUUCUCGGGAGCUGCUUCGCGGCUGGAGAGGCUGCGGCGAUCCUUGGGGUAGUUGGGAGCCAAGGGAAGCUUUGCCUGAGCCUCUACACUCACGGUGGUGCAAAUGCAAAGGCAUGUACGAUUAACUUACAUGGAUUUAAUCUCCAGGAGGAUGAUUUUUCUCUGAGAGAGAAGAUGCCUGCUGAAUGCUAGAAGACAGAAACUCGCCACUUGCAGUUCAAUUUGAGGCCCAGCUCAAUGUACUAUGCAGUACUCAACCAAGAGGCCCAGCCCAUUGUCUCAUGUAACACUCAUCCAAGAGAUACGUACCAAUGCAUCAGUUUUAUGGAUUGUCCAUCAAAUUGCAUGAAGUGCUAUAUACAAUGUUAUAGAUGAUGAUGAUGAUGAUGAUGAUGAUGAUGAUGAAGAUGAUGAUGGUAACAUGUGCAUGAGAAACCCCUUGGUUAUGGAAAGAGAUUCCAUAAGGUAAUGUUCUGUUUUACAGAAGCAAAUGUUUAUUUUGUAGUAGACAAACAAUAUAAGCAUAAUGUGAUCUUGUGUUCUCUA